rnacentral:rRNA from 1 species
AUUGAACGCUGGCGGCAGGCCUAACACAUGCAAGUCGAGCGGCAGCGGAAAGUAGCUUGCUACUUUGCCGGCGAGCGGCGGACGGGUGAGUAAUGUCUGGGAAACUGCCUGAUGGAGGGGGAUAACUACUGGAAACGGUAGCUAAUACCGCAUAACGUCGCAAGACCAAAGAGGGGGACCUUCGGGCCUCUUGCCAUCAGAUGUGCCCAGAUGGGAUUAGCUAGUAGGUGGGGUAACGGCUCACCUAGGCGACGAUCCCUAGCUGGUCUGAGAGGAUGACCAGCCACACUGGAACUGAGACACGGUCCAGACUCCUACGGGAGGCAGCAGUGGGGAAUAUUGCACAAUGGGCGCAAGCCUGAUGCAGCCAUGCCGCGUGUAUGAAGAAGGCCUUCGGGUUGUAAAGUACUUUCAGCGGGGAGGAAGGUGUUGAGGCUAAUAACCUCAGCAAUUGACGUUACCCGCAGAAGAAGCACCGGCUAACUCCGUG